AUUGAACGCUGGCGGCAGGCCUAACACAUGCAAGUCGAGCGGAGAGGCGGACGGGUGAGUAAUGCCUAGGAAUCUGCCUGGUAGUGGGGGAUCACGUCCGGAAACGGGCGCUUAUACCGCAUACUAUCAGAUGAGUCUAGGUAGGAUGAGCUAGUUGGUGGGGUAAAGGCUUACCAAGGCGACGAUCCGUAACUGGUCCUAGAGGUGGAUCAGUCACACUGGGACUGAGACACGGUCCAGACUCCUACGGGAGGCAGCAGUGGGGAAUAUUGGACAAUGGGCGAAAGCCUGAUCCAGCCAUGCCGCGUGUUUGAAGAAGGUCUGCGGAUUGUAAAGCACUUUAAGUUGAGAGGCGUUACCAACAGAAUAAGCAACGGCUAACUUCGUGCCAGCAGCCGCGGUAAUUC
rnacentral:rRNA from 1 species